rnacentral:pre_miRNA from 1 species
UGUAGGGCAAUCUGUCUUUAAGUAGGGAUAAAUUACUCUAAAAGAAAUGAAUCCUAGAUAGUUUUCCCUUCAAGUCAAGUGUCCUG